AAUAUUGCACAAUGGGGGAAACCCUGAUGCAGCGACGCCGCGUGAGCGAAGAAGGCCUUCGGGUCGUAAAGCUCUGUCCUAAGGGAAGAAACGGACGGUACCUUAGGAGGAAGCCCCGGCUAACUACGUGCCAGCAGCCGCGGUAAUACGUAGGGGGCGAGCGUUAGCCGGAAUUACUGGGCGUAAAGGGUGCGUAGGCGGCCUUUUAAGUCAGAUGUGAAAGGCUACGGCUUAACCGUAGUUAGCAUUUGAAACUAAAAGGCUUGAGUGCAGGAGAGGAGAGUGGAAUUCCUAGUGCAGCGGUGAAAUGCGUAGAUAUCGGGAGGAACACCAGUGGCGAAGGCGACUACCUGGACGAUAACUGACGCUGAGGCACGAAAGCUAGGGGAGCAAACAGG
rnacentral:rRNA from 1 species